GUCCUUUCUGUGACAGCAUAGAUACAAAAAUUGGAACAAUACAGAGAAGAUUAGCACAGCCCCUGUGCAAGGGUGACAGGAAAAUUUGUGAAGCGUUCCAUAUUGAG